rnacentral:rRNA from 1 species
GGGUUGUGAGGUUAAGCGACUAAGCGUACACGGUGGAUGCCCUGGCAGUCAGAGGCGAUGAAGGACGUGCUAAUCUGCGAAAAGCGCCGGCGAGGUGAUAUGAACCCUUGACCCGGCGAUGUCCGAAUGGGGAAACCCAGUGUGUUCCGACACACUAUCGUUAACUGAAUACAUAGGUUAACGAGGCGAACCGGGGGAACUGAAACAUCUAAGUACCCCGAGGAAAAGAAAUCAACCGAGAUUCCCCCAGUAGCGGCGAGCGAACGGGGAGCAGCCCGGAGUCUGAAUCAGCUUGUGUGUUAGUGGAACGGUCUGGAAAGUCCGACGGUACAGGGUGAUAGUCCCGUACACGAAAAUGCACUUGCUGUGAACUCGAAGAGUAGGGCGGGACACGUGGUAUCCUGUCUGAAUAUGGGGGGACCAUCCUCCAAGGCUAAAUACUCCUGACUGACCGAUAGUGAACCAGUACCGUGA